rnacentral:rRNA from 1 species
UUUCGUUGAUGAAUUAGAGGUGCUUGCACCGAAGAUGAUUUUAGCUAUAAAGUGAGUGGCGAACGGGUGAGUAACACGUGGGUAACCUGCCCAGAAGUGGGGGAUAACACCUGGAAACAGAUGCUAAUACCGCAUAACAAAGUAAACCGCAUGGUUUACUUUUAAAAGAUGGCUUCGGCUAUCACUUCUGGAUGGACCCGCGGCGUAUUAGCUAGUUGGUGAGAUAAAGGCUCACCAAGGCAGUGAUACGUAGCCGACCUGAGAGGGUAAUCGGCCACAUUGGGACUGAGACACGGCCCAGACUCCUACGGGAGGCAGCAGUAGGGAAUCUUCCACAAUGGACGAAAGUCUGAUGGAGCAACGCCGCGUGAGUGAUGAAGGCUUUAGGGUCGUAAAACUCUGUUGUUGGAGAAGAACGUGUGUGAGAGUAACUGCUCAUGCAGUGACGGUAUCCAACCAGAAAGCCACGGCUAACUACGUGCCAGCAGCCGCGGUAAUACGUAGGUGGCAAGCGUUAUCCGGAUUUAUUGGGCGUAAAGCGAGCGCAGGCGGUCUUUUAAGUCUAAUGUG